rnacentral:rRNA from 1 species
AGCGAACGCUGGCGGCAGGCCUAAUACAUGCAAGUCGAACGCCCCUUCGGGGGAGUGGCGGACGGGUGUGUAACGCGUGGGAAUAUGCCCUAUGGUGCGGAACAACUGAGGGAAACUUCAGCUAAUACCGCAUGUGCCCUACGGGGGAAAGAUUUAUCGCCAUAGGAGUAGCCCGCGUUGGAUUAGCUAGUUGGUGGGGUAAUGGCUCACCAAGGCUACGAUCCAUAGCUGGUCUGAGAGGAUGAUCAGCCACACUGGGACUGAGACACGGCCCAGACUCCUACGGGAGGCAGCAGUAGGGAAUCUUGCGCAAUGGGCGAAAGCCUGACGCAGCCAUGCCGCGUGAAUGAUGAAGGUCUUAGGAUUGUAAAAUUCUUUCACCGGGGACGAUAAUGACGGUACCCGGAGAAGAAGCUCCGGCUAACUUCGUGCCAGCAGCCGCAGUAACAC